CGGCCGCGGUAUCCUAACCGUGCAAAGGUAGCGCAAUCACUUGCCCCUUAAAUGAGGGCUAGUAUGAACGGUUACAUGAAGGUACAACUGUCUCCUUAGGUCAGCCCAUGAACUUGAUAAUUCAGUACAAAUGCUGAAAUAUUACCAUAAGACGAGAAGACCCUGUGGAACUUCUAAACCAACUGCUAGCAGCACAUCAACCAAACAGGCUCUACCUAGCACAGGUUUUAAGUUGGGGCAACUACGGAGUACAACAAAACCUCCAUGAAACACGACUAACACCCGCACCCCAGGCCCACACGCCCAUAACCACAAAAUAGACCCAGUAGUACUGAUUUACGAACCAAGCUACCCCAGGGAUAACAGCGCCAUCCCCUUUAAGAGUCCCUAUCGCCAAGGGGGUUUACGACCUCGAUGUUGGAUCAGGACACCCCGGCGGUGUAGCCGCUGCCAACGGUUCGUUUGUUCAACGAAUAACGUCCU
rnacentral:rRNA from 1 species